rnacentral:tRNA from 1 species
GCCCGAGUGGCGGAAUUGGUAGACGCGCACGACUCAAACUCGUGUUCCAAUGGAGUGCCGGUUCGACUCCGGCCUCGGGUA